CACGUAGGGGCCAAGCGUUGUCCGGAUUUAUUGGGCGUAAAGAGCUCGUAGGCGGCUCGGUAAGUCGGGUGUGAAACCUCCAGGCUCAACCUGGAGACGCCACCUGAUACUGCUGUGGCUAGAGUCCGGUAGGGGAGCGUGGAAUUCCUGGUGUAGCGGUGAAAUGCGCAGAUAUCAGGAGGAACACCAGCGGCGAAGGCGGCGCUCUGGGACGGUACUGACGCUGAGACGCGAAAGCGUGGGGAGCGAACAGG
rnacentral:rRNA from 1 species